UAAACAAUUUUGAAUAUAUGUCAUGGUGGUGCUACAUACUCUAAACAAUGAAAAUUACUAUUGUCCACUUAAGAGUACGUUUCACUUGAAACUUUGCCGAAUUGAAAUUUAGAAUUCACUAUCCCUUUCCUAUCGCAAAUUUUAUCUCAUUAUUAAUCAUUGUAUUAAUCAUCAAAAUACCACUAUCAUCCUCAAUCUCCUCCUUUUUGAUGAUUACAAAAUAUUGAGUAUGAUCAAAUUGAUUUUUAUCUUAAAAUUAAUUUUAGAAGGGCUCAAGUUGCUGAAUUUCAGCUUUUCAAAUAUGAGAGUGAAGUCUCCCCCUAUUUCAUCCAAAUGUUGCCAAUUUGAACUUAUGGUCUUCUCCCCCUUUCUUUUAUACUGGUUAAAGAUGACACUUCAAAAAUUUGAGAUAAUGAAAGAGUUUCAGAUUAUGUAUCGAGGUAUGAAAGGUAUGUGCCAAAAUCUGAAAUUCGAUUUAAAUUUUAGACUUUAACAUUUUCAUUGUACAAAUUGCUCCCCCUUAAAUGUAUAGUCUUUCCUAUUAUAAUUUUCAACCUUGUUUGUCAACUUAUUUCUCUUUCCU
rnacentral:lncRNA from 1 species